CCUGGGGUGAUAUGACACUGCAUGUUUGUGUGGUGUAAAGUGCAGAGACUACAAGCAUACCUCUGACUCUGACACACUGUCUUUUUUACGACGUGUUUGCACAAAUUUGCCUGGGCUCCUUAUCGCUCUGUAAAUAUAGCAUUCUCUGUUUGUGUUGACGAUAGGAGCGGGGCGGUUGCGUGGACCGGACCCACCGGUCGGCUGAGAGUGCGCAGGAGGGGGGGGGGGGGCACUGGUCGGUUAACAGCGGCGUUUAACAUUUCAAAGGGGUUAAGCCCGCCAACGUUCCAGCCUACCGGCGGCGGCAGCGGCGCACUUCUGAUGCUUCCCCUGGAUGCCAGACCUCCUCAGAGGGUCAGCAGAGCCACGCCGGGGGGCCUCCGGGCACCGACAUGCGCUGGAGGAGCCCAUCGAGCCCGGACGAUGGGAGCCAACGCCGUCGCCGUCGCCGUGCCGACGCCGACAGAGAUCCGCUCAACUUGGAGAGCCGACAGCGCCGCCAUAGGAGAUCCGAAGCUGCGUUUAAUAAUUGAUUCAUUAAUCAUCUAUAAGUCCAUUAAAUCAGAGGCUUCCUCUGGAAUUCUAAUCGCCCAGCCCCGG
ensembl:lncRNA